rnacentral:rRNA from 1 species
GGUAGUCCGCACGAGCGCACCCUCGCCCUUAGUUGCCAGCAUUGAGUUGGGCACUCUAGGGGGACUGCCGGUGAUAAGCCGAGAGGAAGGUGGGGAUGACGUCAAGUCCUCAUGGCCCUUACGGGCUGGGCUACACACGUGCUACAAUGGCGGUGACAGUGGGCAGCGAACCCGCAAGGGGGAGCUAAUCUCCAAAAGCCGUCUCAGUUCGGAUUGUUCUCUGCAACUCGAGAGCAUGAAGUUGGAAUCGCUAGUAAUCGCGUAACAGCAUGACGCGGUGAAUACGUUCCCGGGCCUU